AGUGAACGCUGGCGGUAGGCCUAACACAUGCGAGUCGAACGGCAGCACAGUAAGAGCUUGCUCUUACGGGUGGCGAGUGGCGGACGGGUGAGGAAUACAUCGGAAUCUACUUUUUCGUGGGGGAUAACGUAGGGAAACUUACGCUAAUACCGCAUACGACCUACGGGUGAAAGCAGGGGAUCUUCGGACCUUGCGCGAUUGAAUGAGCCGAUGUCGGAUUAGCUAGUUGGCGGGGUAAGGGCCCACCAAGGCGACGAUCCGUAGCUGGUCUGAGAGGAGGGUCGCCCACACUGGAACUUGGACACGGUCCAGACUCCUACGGGAGGCAGCAGUGGGGAAUAUUGGACAAUGGGCGCAAGCCUGAUCCAGCCAUACCGCGUGGGUGAAGAAGGCCUUCGGGUUGUAAAGCCCUUUUGUUGGGAAAGAAAAGCAGCAGGUUAAUACCCCGCUGUUCUGACGGUACCCAAAGAAUAAGCACCGGCUAACUUCGUG
rnacentral:rRNA from 1 species